CAGUUCCUUUGUUAGCCUGACUUUGGCAGAAGGAAGCUAUAGUAAAUGGAAUGAUGGAGACUUCUGAACAUCACACGUAUGUAUCCUGCAGAUCACUGGAAACACAAUUCCCCAGAGCCAUAAAAAGCAUCGAGUUAGUAUCACUCCGUGGACCUUCAAAUAUCCCUAUUCUGCAGCAGGCUGUCCGCUUCCACUCUGGACCUUGGCGUGCAGCAGUUAAGUCCCAUGUUAUCUACAAUGAAAAGCAGGAGGCCUUUCAUCGUUGGCAAAAUGAGUACAAGCAGAGGGAACAAAAUGCUCUGCACCACAGCUCCUCUCAGCUGCUUCGGGAGACAGCAUGGUAUGAUCCCUCCCUGCCAUCUCAGCAGCUGCAGGACUCUCCUCGGUGGGGCACCUUCCUGUGGAAGGAUCAGCAUGUUCCUGGUAAAGAGUUUGUGCUUGAUGACAAUUGCAGCCCUUCAUGGACUUCAAGUUUCCCCACAAUGACUGAAUAUGCCAGUAGUAUAAUGCACCAUGUUAUCGGUCCCAAGUUGUCCAGAAUUGGUUUGAGUAUUCUGACGAAUGGUAUGGUCACCACAUUCAUCCGACAUGAACCCAAUUAUGCAUUUAUGGGACUAGCAGAAGUCUAGUCACACCCAAUACCCUGCAACUACAAAUAUCAGGAAGCUAUCCAGACAGCAUGGGUCAUCAUCUCUCCAAAGAUCUUCCACUCCAAUCGAAAUGAUGCACUUCGCCGGCCAAAAGGGGUCCUACACGAUACUAGUUCUAAACAGGCACAAAUUUGGUAUCAAGAAGUGAUCACAUGACCAUGAUGGCUUCAGUCUAAAUCUCAAUCAACUGAAUAUUAUACUCUGCAUUUAAAACAAGUUUAAUAAAUUCUACAGCCUUUCACACAAUUUUUAUAUUUAUUGUUCCUAGAUUAUAUUUAAAAAAAAUCAUGUUAUUGCAUUUUGACUCUACAAUUGAAAAUCCUGUUACAUAGCUCUCAGUAAUUAUACUUCCUAAAAUGUUCCAGUUUGUUUGAAUGACAGUUCUGGAGCUUUUUUACAAGGUCGUAGUGAACCUGGUUUUGAGUUUAAUAUUUCCACAUUAAAUCCAAAGAUACAGCGGCUUUGAAAAGUGCUACAUAGUAAAUUUACCACCAUGGGAGUUCUAUUUCAGAGGGGAUGUUGCCAUAGUAACCAAUAAGAUUCUACUUCUCAUUUGUCUAGCAACUUCUAGAUGAUACCUGGAAUCUGAUUGGUUGCUAUAGGCAACAUCCCAUUAAAUAGAACUCCCAUCUUAGUAAAUUUACCCCCAUGAGUCAAAUGCUGCCCUACAAUAUAGAACAGAUCUCCACAGCUUAGCAGAGACAUGGACAUAGGAGUAGAUGGCACAAUUGAUAAGGGAAACUGUAAGCGAUAUUACCCUUCACACUGGAAAUUGUAAUGAUUGGAAUCUGCCUUGUCCAUUUUGAACGUAGCACCAACACUCUGCUUUACCCACAAUAUCAUGCAUGCUGUGAGAACUUAAAUCACUACAUUUAUAUUCAAAUUCAUCUUUAAAAAGUUAUGCCAAGUAUGUAACUCAAUGAUCUAAGUAAGAGUGUACAGCAAGUGGUGCUUGUGAAGUACUGUAUGAGUGAAUGCUUAUACUGGUCUUGGAACAAACUAGAAUAGCCUAGAAAAAUUGUUAAAAUCCAUUUAGGUUUAUGGCAGGUUGUGUGUGUUUUUGUCUAUUUAGAAGCGUGUAGUGAUGGUGUUCUAAGUUAUAUAAAAACCAGAACUCAAAAAUG